GCACAUGAGGGGUGGAGAGUUUAUGUGGAUGGAUAUAUAAUACACACAUAAAGUUGCAAAAAGUCUGAAGGAACCAAAUGAAGAGAAAAAUGGGUGAAAGAAAGAAAGGGCAAGAAAAUGGCAAGAAAACAAAAUUGGAGUGGCCACCCAUCAAACCCAAGUUUAAUCUCAACAUAACUCGCCUCAAAGACACAGAUCUCUUUACGGUGCGGAAUUUAUUCACGUCAGUUGAAUCAAAGGCAUUCAUUAAAGCUGCAGAAUUGAUUGGGUUUGUCCAUCAAGGGAGUCUUGGCCCAACAAAAGGCGAAGCUUAUAGAGACAAUGAUCGAAUAUCUAUGAAUGAUCCUGUGCUUGCAAAUACAAUAUGGGAAUCUGGACUCAACAAAUUAUGUUCUGAUUUUAAAAUACGAGGCAAAGUUGCGGUUGGGUUGAACCCAAAUAUCAGAAUCUACCGUUUUUUUCUUGUCAGGUAUAAGGUUGGUCAGCGUUUUGGACGGCAUGUUGAUGAAAGUGUUGAUCUUGGAGAGGGAAAGCGCACCCAUUAUACUCUUUUAAUAUAUCUUAGUGGUGGUUUUAAACCCAAACCUAAAAAUGAUAACAGCGACCCACAGGAUUCUUCUGAGCCUCUAAUUGGAGGAGAGACUGUCUUCUAUGGCCCAAGAAAUGGUGUUGUUGCUGAGGUGUCUCCCACUGAAGGGAUGGCUCUCCUUCACAUUCAUGGUGAUAAGUGUAUGCUGCAUGAAGCCCGAAAUGUAACAAAGGGUGUUAAGUAUGUGUUACGAUCAGAUGUAGCUUUUGCUUGAUCAGUGCAAGGCUUAAUCAGAUCAGAUCCAGCAACCUUGCUUUGUCUUCCAUGAUUUGGUGGUCUUUGAAACCCCCUAUAACAAAUUACUUUACCUCAGUAGGAGCAUUACUUUCUUCAUCCAGCUAUUCUAUUUUACAUAGAUAGUAUAUCAUGGAAGCACUACUUUUCCUAGAAGGGGAAGGAGACAAAGGAAGAGAAAAAGAAGAAAAGCUCUCAAAUUGGUUUGAGGAAGUGGCCACAGGCAUUCUUUGGUUGGAAAUAGUUGUAAGAUUUUUGGUGUGAAGAUAAAUGUCAUGAAGCAGUACAGCACACGACCUCUCUCUCUCUCUCUCUCAAAUGAAUUAGUGUAUGGGUUUGGGAGGUUGGCAAAUUAUUGGAGGGGUUUGUAAGGUUGCAAUGGUGGUGGGUUUUUACUGGCCAUGGUGGUGUUGCUGGAUCUACCAGCCACCAAAAUUGGUGACUGUGAAUUGAUUAUAUGGCAGUGUGGCUGUAGAUGUGAAGUGAUAGAUUGAGAGUGAGAUAGACAGUAGAGAGUGUUGUUUCCUUGAUGGAAAUGGCUUUGUGAGUGGUUUCUGUUGGUAGCACCAAUCAUGGCCAUGGAGGUUUCUUGUGGUUGUAGUGGCAACCAUUGGAGUAGCGGUGCUGACGAGUUAGGAGAGGGGAGAAGAUAGAGAAAAGGUGUUUUUUAGAGAUUGUGUAAAUUAAUUUAGUUGACUUUUGACCAUAAUGGUAUUUUUAAAAAUUUACAUAGUGACAUAAAA